CAUCAUCUCUACGGAGUCUUUGCAGUGGGGAUGGUUUGAGUGGGAACUGGCAAUGUGGCAGUUAGCAGAAGUGACUCUCCAGGGGAGCUAAAAUCCAUGUAUUUGGGCACACACUUGAACAAUAUUGCUAGAGAAAUUUAAGCAAGAGCACAAAGGUUAAUGACAUCUCUUGUGGGGACCACUGUGAGAAUAAAACAAGGCACUACGUUGUCUGGGAUGAUGGAAGGAGCUAAAGUCUUCAGUGAAUGAAGGAGCAGGACCAGGAGCUCAAAAUACUUCUUUGAAGACAAAGAAGAAAUGAUAUUACCAAAUGGUUGGCUCAAAAGAACAGGGAUUUUGCAACAGAGAGAGUAUGUCAUGGUCUUGAACAAGCAAUGUUUUGCCAGGACGAUUAAAUAUCAUUGAUGCUUCUGGUCUACAAUUAGUCAGAGAAGAGAUUAAAAAAAUGAUGAGUAUUCAAGAAGGAAAGUGUUUGCUUUAACAUAUGAAGAAAAGGAGCUUCAGAGUGGUGAUUAACCCCAGAAUUGUGUGGAACGGAUAUGGAAACAAGACCACAGGAGCAUCGAGAACUGAGCAGAACUGAAGGUGACAUGAAAAUCAGCUGCAAGAUUCACCUCAGGGUGAUAAUGGGCUGCAGGUGGCUGCAGGAAUCCCGGGACAUUCUAGGCACUGCCAUAUUUUCUUAGGGGCCAGUAAGGAUGGCUAUCAUCAGAUGUACCUGAUGAUACAAACAUGGGCUGUCUUGCCUUCUAGUAUUCAUUCUUGAUGAUUGCAUCCAGAGCUCACUUUGGAGGUGCAGAUCAACUCUUCUUCAGGCUCAUCCAUGCGACUUGAGUGGGCUCUCAUCCCCAUUCCCAGGGGCUUAUGACAAUCAAGGUUUCCACUCCUCCAUGGUCUCAAUGGUUUUUCUCCCCAUGGGAAGCACAUAAUCCCAUUAGAGGCCACGGGAAGCUUUUUUGUUGGGCUUUGAGGGAAAAAAGGCUUUUGCAGCCAAUGAAUCGAUCAAUGUGUACUUCAACCUGGAUUGUAUGUAUGCAUCUCCUAGAUUGGGCGGAUGAUGAAGUGAGGCUGGAAGUGCUGAGCAUCUUCCUACCUGGGAUGACUGGGCUGAGCAGGAAGCCUACCCCGGGGUUCCAGCCAAGUUGGAGCCUGUGAGUGUGUGGUGUAGUUUAACGCCCUGAUUAAAUCACUAGGAAGCCAUUUCUCUCUCUCCUCCCAGACCAGAUCAGACAAUAUGUUCCCUUAUUUCUACUAAAGCCCCAAUUGGAUUUUGUGUCUUUUGAUACUGAAAGAAUCUUACCACAAAUAAAAUAAUUUGUCAUGUGGCUCCUACAUAUUUAUUCAGUUACAUAAACUAACUAAAUAAAUGAAUAAACUGUCAAUAAUGGUAGUUCCUCAUCUAUGAAUGACUCUUUACAAAGCCUAUCUCGCUUAAUAGUCAUAAUAAAUACUGAAGUAGAUACUAUUUAUACCUUUUUUUUAAAAGGAAUUAAAUAUUUUCAGGGUUAUACAAAGCAUGAGUAUUGUGGGUACAAAUUCAAGCUUUCUAACUCAAAUUUGAAGACUUAUCCCCAGGAUACUUUUACAUCUUUAGCUAGUACCAUGUAUACCUCAAAAGCUUACAUUAUUUUUCACAUGUGUUAGGUUUUGAGGGAUAAUCAAUAAGGAGGGCAUACUUUCAGGCUUCUUAUUUAUAACUGUGAAAUUUAGAAAUUGAUGGAGUAGCAGAUUUCUCGGUAGGAGACAGCUGUUUUAAAAUGCCCCAUGUUUUUAUUAAAGUAAAAAUCUCAAAAAUUGUCUUUUAAAAAGUGGCUCUGGCCAAUCUUAGAUAAAACAUCAUUUACUAGACUUAGGAAUUUCCUGUAGUAAAUUUCAGAUUUACUUUUCGGUCUCACAUCAUCAAAGAGAUCAUAACCCUUUGUGCAAUUAUGGUCUUGAACCAAGGCCUAUUCUCUAGGUCACUGCUGUCAGGACUUCAAGAUAAUUGUUUCCAUUGCAGGAUUUGAUUUUUAAUUCCCCGGAUGUUCUUGACGUGGUUCAGUUCUUCAGGAAAUCAUCACCCUCAUGAGCCCUCCCUGCCACUUGCAGAUAGGGCUUUCUCCCGGUAAGUUCUGGAGUCACGGCAGAGCUCAAUAAGUCUGAUUGGGACCUCCUAUGAUUAU
rnacentral:lncRNA from 1 species